ACAUAACCCUAUCCUUGUCACAGCUAAAAGAAUGGGAUGCAGAAUUUACACGGAAUUCUCAAAAUAUGUUUUAUCUUCGUUGUCAGGAACCCCCAGCGGACCAGCUUCUACUUUCGUUCUUGCGAAUCUGGAGCGGCAAAUGACAUCAGGCCCACUCUAUCCAUCAAUCAGAGGGUAAUUUCCCGCGUUUGUUACCAUAGCACCCACAGCUGUGGUACUCCACCGCUGCUUCUGUCGCCUUCAUCUCAGCUCCCUAUUACCGACCAUAUUUAGAGCUUGUGGUGGGCCUGUGCUCUGUGUCUGCCUGUAUGCCUACUGUGAGGAGCGAACCAGACGGCCUUGGCUCCCCAGUAGCCACGGUAAAAAGGUCGGUCACACAUGACUUCUCUUUUGAACCUGUUCCCUCCUGAGCUUAGAAGACCUUUCAUUCCCUACGCUUAGGGGACUGUGGCUGGUUUACAUCCACUCCACGGUGAUGUGCGAAUCUGCGUGUUAUCUUCAACAAGGGGCUUCAGGAAGCCUUUACACUGCAUUUGGGGAGCGAGUGCUGGGCUCCAGCAGGUCCCCCUCUUCCAGACGCAAGCGCAGCCUGGGCGCUGUGAGCUUCAGCAGAGGCCUACCUGCCUUUCUUGCUCUUCCAGAGACGGAGUCUGGUUUGGGUCAUGCCUGGAGCUCUACUCCCACGGCCAGGCAGGCAGCAAGGAGGAGCAUAAAUGGCUUUGGCGUAAGUUCUUGCAUCCACGAAACUCAACAGGGACUCUGCAGCUUCAGGCAGGGCUCGGAGUUGCCAGUGAUCACCCUGGACACAGUGUCCACCAAAGCCUUGUCCCACCCCAGAAAGGAGCCGUGGUAGUCCUUCCUGUUGUAGGCGUUCACAGAAUUUCAGAGUGGUGCGCCUGAAAGACUAACCAGAGCAUUCCGAGCUUGGUAACACCGGGUCACGAAGCCGGCAGAGAGCCAGCGGCGGCAGAGAGGCCACCCAGUGCUCCGCACCAGGCAGCUCCGAAGGCCUCCGCGGACCUGGCAUUAUCUUCUAGGCCAGUGACAGAUUUCUCUUUUUGUCACCUUUCCUUAGAGACGUCACCACAGCCACAAACCGGCAGAUUUGACAAAACCCCAAACAACUAAAAAAAUGCGAGCGGUACAGGAGCCUUGUUGGCGCAGAAGAUACCUGUGACUGCCUCUGCAUUCCAAUGGCUGGAGAGGCGUCCCGAGGAAAGAACCCUACGAACGCAAUCGAGGCUCAAGGUCACGUGAGCAAAAGGAAGUAACACUUGCAUGGCGAGCAAAGGAAGGCCCCCGCCCACCCGUACCUGUGCAGAUGAAGCUGGAGAGGCCUCCAUAGAUGACUUCGUCAUUGUCGGGCAAUAUGAAC